UUUCUUUUUGUUUCAAGUUUUGUUUCUGCAUAUUUUUGUUCUUGCUGUUCAUCAUACUUUAAAGCCACGAAAAAGAAAAGAAAAAGUUUUGUUUGAUUCAUUUAAAAAUCAAAAAUCCCAAAAGAAAGUGUUUGCAUUCAUUAGUUUCCAUAAAAGAAAAUCCCAUAAAAAUUUAUGUUUUGAAUUUGAUUCCUUUUCAUUUGCAUUCAUAAAUUCAAAAGCCAAAAGAAAUCAUCCUAGUUAUUUUUUCAUACCAUUUCUACUUGUACAUUUCGUGAUUGC
rnacentral:lncRNA from 1 species